rnacentral:rRNA from 1 species
AGAGCGAACGCUGGCGGCAGGCUUAACACAUGCAAGUCGAGCGGGCGUAGCAAUACGUCAGCGGCAGACGGGUGAGUAACGCGUGGGAACGUACCUUUUGGUUCGGAACAACCCAGGGAAACUUGGGCUAAUACCGGAUAAGCCCUUACGGGGAAAGAUUUAUCGCCGAAAGAUCGGCCCGCGUCUGAUUAGCUAGUUGGUGAGGUAAUGGCUCACCAAGGCGACGAUCAGUAGCUGGUCUGAGAGGAUGAUCAGCCACAUUGGGACUGAGACACGGCCCAAACUCCUACGGGAGGCAGCAGUGGGGAAUAUUGGACAAUGGGCGCAAGCCUGAUCCAGCCAUGCCGCGUGAGUGAUGAAGGCCCUAGGGUUGUAAAGCUCGUUUUGUGCGGGAAGAUAAUGACGGUACCGCAAGAAUAACGCCCCGGUCUAACUUCGCGCCAGCAGCCGC